rnacentral:rRNA from 1 species
CCUACGGGUGGCAGCAGUGAGGAAUAUUGGUCAAUGGACGGAAGUCUGAACCAGCCAUGCCGCGUGCAGGAAGACGGCUCUAUGAGUUGUAAACUGCUUUUGUACAAGGGUAAACCUGAAUACGUGUAUUCAGCUGAAAGUACUGUAAGAAUAAGGAUGGGCUAACUGCGUGCCAGCAGCCGCGGUAAUACGGAGGAUCCAAGCGUUAUCCGGAUUGAUUGGGUGUAAAGGGGGCGUAGGAGGAUUGAUAAGUUAGAGGUGAAAUGUCCGAGCUUAACUCGGGAACUGCCUCCAAGACUGUCGGGCUUGAGAGUAGGUGAGGUAGGCGGAAUGUCUGGUGUAGCGGUGAAAUGCUUAGAGAUGAUACAGAACACCGAUUGCGAAGGCAGCUUGCCAAUCUAUAUCUGACGUUGAGGCACGAAAGCGUGGGGAGCAAACAGGAUUAGAUACCCCAGUAGUC